UCUCUCUCUCUCUGCUUAAAUGAAGCAGAGCAAAGAGCCAGAGAUACAGAGGAAGAUAAAAGCUUUAUUUAUUUUAUUUGAAGCUAAAACUAAAAUUAAAUCUAAAACUAAAACAGGUAACUAAAACAGGUCUCAGGCUUCUUAUAAUUUGUAAGGAGGAGAGAGUGUUUGGUAGCCGACAGGUGUAGGAAUGUGACCACUGU
rnacentral:lncRNA from 1 species